rnacentral:rRNA from 1 species
GACGAACGCUGGCGGCGUGCUUAACACAUGCAAGUCGAGCGGUAAGGCCCUCGGGUACGACGAGCGGCGAACGGGUGAGUAACACGUGGGUGACCUGCCCUCAGCUCUGGGAGUAAGCCUGGGAAACCGGGUCUAAUACUGGAUAUGACUCCAUGACGCAUGUUGUGGGGUGGAAAGCCUUGUGCGGCUGAGGAUGGGCCCGCGGCCUAUCAGCUUGUUGGUGGGGUGAUGGCCUACCAAGGCGACGACGGGUAGCCGGCCUGAGAGGGCGACCGGCCACACUGGGACUGAGACACGGCCCAGACUCCUACGGGAGGCAGCAGUGGGGAAUCUUGCGCAAUGGGCG